CAACUGCACUGAGCUAGACCGGGCCUGCUCCUGGUUUUUUCGGUUCUGGGGAGGUUUUUUUAGGUUUCAACCGGUUUUCUCUAAUUAUUUUAAGUUGAUUUGUAAGUGAAAAAGCUUACUUGUCUAUUUGGGACAAGAAGACCCUAUGAAUUUUUAGAAGGAAUGUUUUUUAGCUGAAGUAUUAUAAAAAUUUUUAUAAGUAUUUUCUUUUUUAGUUGGGGUGAUUUUUAAAGAUUAAUGAUCUUUAAGAUUUUAGAAAGAUGAUCCAUUUUUAGUGAUUGUUUGAAUUAAAUACUCUAGGGAUAACAGCGUUAUAAUUUUGGAUAGUUCAUAUAGAUAAAAUUGAUUGCGACCUCGAUGUUGGAUUAGGAUUCUUAAGUAGUGAAGAGGCUACUAGAGGAAGUUUGCUCAACUUUUUAUAUCCU
rnacentral:rRNA from 1 species